AUGGAAUAAGAAGUUAUAUAUAUAUAAAAGAGGAUUUAGAAAAAAUGAUGUGGCAUAUCUCUUUAGCCAAGAAACACAUUUAUCUUUUUUCUCAUUUUUUUUGAAUUUUUUUCUUUUUCUUUUAGUCUUUUCAUUCAAUCCAACUUAUUAAAAGACUACAAUGUCUAUUAAAGAAAUAUUAAUGCUGACCAUUUGCUUUCCCUUAUUUCUUUAUUGCGUUUUCGGUUACACCAUAGUUAUUAUGGUUUUAAUGGGUUCUGCCCUUUGUAUGUUCUUCCUUUUUAAAGUUUUGUUUCAUUUCAUAUUUUCAGAUCUUUCUCCAUGCUAAUGUGGAGUUGUUCGAUAUGAAAAGGUAAGCAAAGAGUUCAUUUUCUAACUUUUGUUAUUUAACUUUCUGUAAGGUUUUUCUUAUAAAUUUUGUUGAAUCUUCAAGUCUUUGUCUAUUCACCUUAUGAUAUAUAUCCUAAUAUUUCGGGUUAUGUUAACAGGAAAGCAUACUAAAUUUUAGAGGGAUGAAACUGUUCACAUAUAUUUAUUCCUACAGAUUGUCAAUCAAAAGUUGUGAUCUUCCUCUGGCAUGGAGUGCAAUAUAUCAAUGAAAGGUCAUCAUCUCAACAUAACAAAACUUUUUUAAUUUCCAUUUCGCGUUGUAAUCACUAUAUGUACCUAGAUUACUACAACUAAUAUUGGGUAUAUAAAAUCUAAUCGAUAUACUUUUGCUUGUGUAUUAUAAUAUUUCUUGAAUAUUUUGUGUCUUGUAUUGGAACAAUUAUCAAUUUCUUUUGGUAACUAAUUGUUUUGCAAAUUGUACUUUUUUCUUUGUGUAUAAUUUUGUGGGUAUUUUAAAUUCGAUAAGAUUUAUGCCUCUUUUUUAUUGUAUAUUAUGGUGUUUUUUUCGGUUUGUCUUAUUUUUCAGGUAUAUGAAAUUUAGUCAGAUUUAUUUUUUGCUUUUCAGUUUAUGGUAUUUACAUUUGGAUUUUUGUGUUUAUGUUACCACAGUUGAAUCAAAUGAGAAAAUCAAAAGGAAAAAGGCCAGAAAAAAACUCAAGCUCAGACUGGUAAAAGCAAGACUACGGGAAAAAGAUGAUAGUUUGACUCCUUAGUGUUAUCAUUUCAACUAUUAGAAAGCUACUGAGAUGUAGUUAUGAAUGAAAAAAGCCCUAAGUCACAUUGCCGUUAGAGGAAGCUACUAGAUUGAAAUAUCAAAACAUUGGAGCAUUUCUUGGUUCAUCUAUAUGUUGAGUUAGAAGAUAAUAAACUGUAAAUUUGUUUUGUCUUAUGGGUUUUCUCUUCGCUAGAUGUAUAUCGAUUCUCGCUCUUUAUCUAAGGUAGUCAUAUUUAUACUUUAUUCUUCAGAUGGAUUUUUUGAUGAAAUAUAGUGCCAUCAUUUUUCUUAUUUUUUCAUUCAUGAGCUAUUGCAUGGAAGCUUCAAAGUGGAAUUUGGAAAGAUUAAAAUGUUAUUUAUCUUUUUCCUCCUUUUUCUGUGUGCCUUUUCUCCUAUUUUGUAUUAAUACAAUUAUUAAUCAAUAUUACUUUUCUAAUCAUAAUUCUUAAUUAAAAGAUACUUGCUCUGACCUUUUUGCUAUUAUAAAGCCUGAGUGUUAAUUAUUACUAUUUUGACUUUUCAUAUUUCUUAUCAAUGCGUAUGCAAUAAAACUAAUCCAUUCAAGUUUC
rnacentral:lncRNA from 1 species